AGCAGCCGCGGUAAUUCCAGCUCCAAUAGCGUAUAUUAAAGUUGUUGCAGUUAAAAAGCUCGUAGUUGAAUUUUGGGUUUGGCCGAUUGGUCCGUUCUUGUAGCGAGUACUGGUCGGUUGGGCCUCACCGCUUGGGGAUACGGGAUGUCCUUUAUUGGGUGUCGCGAGUAGCCAAGACCUUUACCUUGAAAAAAUUAGAGUGUUUAAAGCAGGCAUAUGCCAGAAUACAUUAGCAUGGAAUAAUAGAAUAGGACAAUGAUUCUAUUUUGUUGGUUUCUAGGACCGUUGUAAUGAUUAAUAGGGAUAGUUGGGGGCAUUAGUAUUCAAUUGUCAGAGGUGAAAUUCUUGGAUUUAUUGAAGACUAACUACUGCGAAAGCAUUUGCCAAGGAUGUUUUCAUUAAUCAAGAACGAAAGUUAGGGGAUCGAAGACGAUCAGAUACCGUCGUAGUCUUAACCAUAAACUAUGCCGACUAGGGAUCGGGCGAAGUUGUUUCAAUGACUCGCUCGGCACCUUAUG
rnacentral:rRNA from 1 species